AUCACACCACCUAUGUUCUUCACUCUCCCAGAAAUCUUCCCUAUGGAACAGCUCUUUUCCUCACCGUAACAGCAGGGAAAUUAUUUGAGGAAGUGACCACAGAUGAAACUGUUUCCAGAUGUCUACAAAGGUUUUUGGGUUUUGUGGGGACUGAAGUACAGCAGGAAGCAGCAUAAGCAGACAGAAAGAAGCCUUAGUGUGUAGUAAAAGUUGGGUAGCUGAGACCAUUGCAGAGGCAGUGGGAUACAAUAUCUUCACAUGAAAUGUAAAGUGAUUAAAACCCAAUUUGAUAAAAUCCCAAAGACUGAGACUGCUACAGGAGCAGGAAAGAGGAAAGAAAAGACAGUGAGAUCAUAUAGCACUAAAGGAACUUCA
rnacentral:lncRNA from 1 species